rnacentral:pre_miRNA from 1 species
AAAGUACUCCCUCCGUCCCAAAAUUCUUGUCUUAGAUUUGCCUAGAUACGGAUGUAUCAAGUCACAUUUUAGUAUUAGAAACAUCCGUAUCUAGACAAAUCUAAGACAAGAAAUUUGGGACAGAGGGAGUAGUUG